rnacentral:rRNA from 1 species
UACGUAGGGUGCGAGCGUUAAUCGGAAUUACUGGGCGUAAAGCGUGCGCAGGCGGUUCGUUAAGUUCGUUGUGAAAGCCCCGGGCUCAACCUGGGAACUGCAAUGGAAACUGGCAGGCUUGAGUGUGGCAGAGGGGGGUGGAAUUCCGCGUGUAGCAGUGAAAUGCGUAGAGAUGCGGAGGAACACCGAUGGCGAAGGCAGCCCCCUGGGCCAACACUGACGCUCAGGCACGAAAGCGUGGGGAGCAAACAGG